rnacentral:lncRNA from 1 species
AAGAACAUGAAACCGCCUGAAACUUCACCACCCAGCCGUGGCUCAGCCGGUGCUGGGGGACGGCUGGCCACUGAGGACGAAGCCCCUCGGGGGAGCAGGAAAAGUGCGCCACUUUCCUUCAGUGGCUCUGGCAUUUUGGACGAGUAACUUGACUUCUCUGGACCGCAGUUUCGCUGUCUAAGGGAAGGCGUCACAGGAUGGAUUCUGAGGUCUUCCUGGCGCUGCCGUUCUACAGGACGUCAGCUUCCAGGAUCACAAGCUUCGAUCAGGACACAGUGAACUUCUCCACGCUGGUGGGUAGCGGGGGCUUCAGGCCGGGUGACUGCAGAGACCAGUGGCUCCUGAGAGAGUUUGCUUCGGGUGAACAUAUCACAGAGCCUCUGUAACAUUUCCUCGCACAUCCUGCCAGGUGUCUGGAGUCUGUUGCAAGCACAGCCUGUGUUGGAGGGCGCCGCUCAGCCCGGGGCUCGGGAGAGCUGGAGUGAACCCUGGCCCUGUCACCAGAUUCUAGAUGCCCUGGAGCCUCUAAUGUCCCUGAGCCUCAGGUUUCCCGUCUGUGAAAUGGGGGGAACAUCUCCCUUUCCUAGCCAACAGAUUUACUCUAUCACAUGAGCAAAUGUACAGAGAAGCAUUUAGAAAAAAAAAAAUGCAGCCCUGAAAACACGUGAAAGAGAUAAGGAUCAUGUGUAGACGUGAGUCCAUCCACUCAAUGGAAAGUGGGGCUUCAUUUGGGGCUCCAUCCUGUGCUGAGAUAGAGACAGGCUAAUCACCAUAAUCAAGGACUCAAACAAACAGCAGCCGACUUACUAACCAGGUGAAUGGGAAAUAGAGAGGCAGUUUCAGAGCCUGGCUUUCGGUAAAUGUUAGCCCUACUGCCGCAAAGCCGGCAGCGAGUGCUUCGAGAGCAGGUGGGAGACGAGGAGAGGUUUCCUGGCCCUUGCCCUUCACCUUGGUCACUGACUCAGUGCGAAACAGCGCCUGCGGGGAGGAGCAGAGUUCUCAUCCUGGUUCACAGCUCAGCCUGCGGCCACAAGUGGGGGCAGUGAGCUGAGUUCACGGCAAAGGAUGACUAAACAGCCUCCUCAUCGUUAAUAACAAUAAUACUUGGCAUUUAUCUAGUUCUUUAUGUUUUCAGAGUGCUUUACAAUCAUUAACCAGUUAGCUAGCACUCACCAGCACCCCACCAUCUGCCUGCUGUGCCGAGGAGACAGGAGAGCCAGCGUCAGCUGCCUCUGUUUCCCCAAAGUCCCCUCAUGGUUCUCCGAAGCACAGUGCAAACAGCAACUGUUCAACAGCAUCUACUGAGGGCUCCAGCAUAACAUAAGGAAACUACAGAGCAGAAAAAGAAAUUUCGGGUAGAUAUCAGCUGCCCCACAGGCCACUGGCCCUCCUCAUCAGGAUCGUCUUCCCCAGCUACCUCUUACUGAAGAACCAACCCAUCCCCCUGAAGGCAGGACAGAUAAUCUCUCCUGGAGGUUGUCCCAUAACAUCCAGCCUGACACCUGAUGACUUUCAAAAGAAGAAAACCUUCAUCAAAAGGGUUCCUUCCAGAAGAAAAGGACAGAUUAACUCCAAGGGCUAAUUUCCUUUUCCCCUAGAAUGCAAAAAUCACUCACAAAUCCGAAAUGGAAAUUUCUCGGUUUCAACCACGUCAGGGUCCAGACUCAACCUUCAUUAACAGGAAAAAACUGCCAGUAAG